rnacentral:rRNA from 1 species
UACCAGCACCCCGAGUGGUCGGGACGAUUAUUGGGCCUAAAGCAUCCGUAGCCGGUCCUACAAGUCUUCCGUUAAAUCCACCUGCUUAACAGAUGGGCUGCGGAAGAUACUAUAGGCUAGGAGGCGGAGAGGCAAGCGGUACUCAGUGGGUAGGGGUAAAAUCCUCUGAUCCAUUGAAGACCACCAGUGGCGAAGGCGGCUUGCCAGAACGCGCUCGACGGUGAGGGAUGAAAGCUGGGGAGCAA